AUCCUGGCUCAGGAUGAACGCUGGCGGCGUGCUUAAUACAUGCAAGUCGAACGAAGCACCUUGGACNGAAUCCUUCGGGAGGAAGACCAUUGUGACUGAGUGGCGGACGGGUGAGUAACGCGUGGGUAACCUGCCUUGUACAGGGGGAUAACAGUUGGAAACGACUGCUAAUACCGCAUAAGCGCACAGUACCGCAUGGUACGGUGUGAAAAAACUCCGGUGGUAUAAGAUGGACCCGCGUCUGAUUAGCUAGUUGGCAGGGUAACGGCCUACCAAGGCGACGAUCAGUAGCCGACCUGAGAGGGUGACCGGCCACAUUGGGACUGAGACACGGCCCAGACUCCUACGGGAGGCAGCAGUGGGGAAUAUUGCACAAUGGAGGAAACUCUGAUGCAGCGACGCCGCGUGAGUGAAGAAGUAUUUCGGUAUGUAAAGCUCUAUCAGCAGGGAAGAUAAUGACGGUACCUGACUAAGAAGCACCGGCUAAAUACGUG
rnacentral:rRNA from 1 species